AUCAUUAUGAGAUGUCUAUGUCUGAUAGGUAAUCAGGCUUAGGUGAAUGCUCUACAGCGUUAUUACAGGAAUUUGUGGAGUGAUCACGAACCUUAAAGAAAUGGAUAUCAGUAAUGGAAAUUAUACUUGCUAUAGAAGUUGCUUUUCUUUGAACAUAAAACAUAAGCAGGACCAGCAAUGGAAAUACUAUUAAUUUCCUGGAAAUAAGUAUGAACCAACAGUUGUUUACAAGUAUAAUUGCAGUUUAGGAUUUAGGUAAAAUACGAGCUUAUGAAAUACUUUUUCUUGCUGCACUAACGUAUUCCCCCCUGUUUUAUUGAAAUACAAUGACAAGCACUAGCUAGAAUUUAUUUUCUUGAUUGGUUUUGCAGGCGAGAAGACAGAACAAGCUGGGAGGUCUUAAAAUAAUUGAGGGAGUAUACUCAUGUCGCAGCAUGUAGGGUUACAUCAAAUUGGCAGAUCUCCAAGCAUAACAUACUUGCUAUAGAAGUUGCCCAAGACGGGACUAUUGUGCUUCCACGAUCUUCAAUAGAUUGAUAGUUAGUCAGUGAUGAUGUAAUGUUUAAUUAGUGACGUGCGUGCGGACAGCCGCACUAACAUUGGGCAGGAACAUCACCCAUGAAGGGCCUUGGUUGUUCAUAUUUUAGAGGUUGUAGUUGCAUUAUAUUUUCCUUUUUCUUCAUUCCUAUCAUUAGUUUUCUGUAAAAGAAAUCUCACCUUUUUACCUAGGUUCAA